GCCGGCGUGACGAAAUUGGUAGACGUGCCAGACUCAAAAUCUGGUGGGUGUUAAACCCGUAAGGGUUCGAGUCCCUUCGCCGGCA
rnacentral:tRNA from 1 species